AUUCUGCCGCCGGCGAAGGAAGAAUCUCUCUCUCGGGGGCUGGGUUGGGGACGGGCAUCAUCGGAAUGAAUCGGAGGCUACAGGGGAGGGGAGGGGAGGGUCCCAUCUCCUCUGUUCAUCAACCGGUGCGGUGCGGUCCGUGCGUACGCUCCUCCGGCCGCAUCCAUUUCCAUUUGCUGCCCUGCCCCUCACUCCCACCCCCACUCCCUCCCUCUCCAGUGGUUCAGCCUCCGCCGGGACCAGACGCGUCGCCGCCGGCCGUACACAGCACUGGGCCGCCAGUCACCGCACUGCCGCCGGCGCCCAAGGAGAUCUGGACCACUGUUACUUCUCACAGAACAAGGGAGAUCUAGCUAGCUUUUUCCUCUGGAUCAAGGGAUCCUUCCCUCAUCUCUCCGCCCAAUUCAAGGCCACAUUUUCCCUUUACAAAGAAUCUACCGACUGAAUCUUACUAUGACCAUUGAUGUGUGAAAGGUGGUAAUAAAGAGGACUAAUUUUGAUUUCGUGUUUUUGCUCUAGAACAAGGGCCAACCAAGAACUGUAUCUCAUCUCUCCAGUUGGUUUUCAAGGCCACUUUUUUCCCUUUGGAUUUGUUGCUGGUCCCUAUACCAGCAUUGAUGACGACUGCCGCAUAUAUAUCUCGCUCGCUGGAUCUGCAUCGCUUCUAGCGGGUCUCCAAGGGUCUCGCGCUCUGCUCACCUCUACUUCUCAAACAGCAAGGGAUAUCUAUCCAGGUCUUGCUCUCGAGCAAGGGCCAAGCAAGAUCCGUCUCUCACAUUUGUGGAGCUACGAACAAAGGAAGCAGAAGGGACCUGCAUCCCGAAUUCGCUCCAGGCUCGGCUCGGCUCAGCUCAUUCAAGAGUGUUAUAGAGCCACCAAACAGUGAAUAAUUAAAGAAGGUGUCGCAAUCGGACCACUACUUGAUUAGGCAUUUGAAAACAGCUCUAAAACAGCCAACGUGAAGCUUAGAUACAACUCUCAGGUAGAACUUCUUAGACCUCCUUUGGUUCAAGUAUCGCAUAUCCUAUGAGUAAGAAUAGGAAGAGAGAUGUCCUUUGAUUCACAUCAUAGGAAUUUUUUCAUUGAGUCUAGGCUAGUAUUUAUUUUCCUACACUAGUAGAAAACAGGGCUAUGGUCCAGGCCGGCUCAGCCCAUUAGUCCCGGUUCAGUCUAGAACCGGGACCAAUGUGGCAUUGGUCCCGGUUCGUGAGCCCAGGGGGCCGGCCGGGCCACAUGGGCCAUUGGUCCCGGUUCAUCUGGACCUUUUGGUCCC